rnacentral:rRNA from 1 species
UACGUAGGGUCCAAGCGUUAUUCGGAAUUACUGGGCGUAAAGCGUACGUAGGCGGUCAGAUAAGUUGGAUGUGAAAUCCUGUGGCUCAACCACAUGGACUGUGUCCAAAACUAUUUGACUAGAGCAUAGUAGAGGCAAGUGGAAUUUGCGGUGUAGGAGUGACAUCCGUAGAUAUCGCAAGGAACACCAAUGGCGAAGGCAGCUUGCUGGGCUAUUGCUGACGCUCAGGUACGAAAGCGUGGGGAGCGAACGGG